AGUGAACGCUGGCGGUAGGCCUAACACAUGCAAGUCGAACGGCAGCACAGUAAGAGCUUGCUCUUACGGGUGGCGAGUGGCGGACGGGUGAGGAAUACAUCGGAAUCUACUUUUUCGUGGGGGAUAACGUAGGGAAACUUACGCUAAUACCGCAUACGACCUACGGGUGAAAGCAGGGGAUCUUCGGACCUUGCGCGAUUGAAUGAGCCGAUGUCGGAUUAGCUAGUUGGCGGGGUAAAGGCCCACCAAGGCGACGAUCCGUAGCUGGUCUGAGAGGAUGAUCAGCCACACUGGAACUGAGACACGGUCCAGACUCCUACGUGAGGCAGCAGUGGGGAAUAUUGGACAAGGGGCGCAAGCCUGAUCCAGCCAUACCGCGUGGGUGAAGAAGGCCUUCGGGUUGUAAAGCCCUUUUGUUGGGAAAGAAAAGCAGCAGGUUAAUACCCCGCUGUUCUGACGGUACCCAAAGAAUAAGCACCGGCUAACUUCGU
rnacentral:rRNA from 1 species